rnacentral:rRNA from 1 species
UACGUAGGUGACAAGCGUUGUCCGGAUUUACUGGGCGUAAAGAGCGCGCAGGCGGUCGAUCAAGUCGAGUGUGAAAGCCCCCGGCUCAACUGGGGAGGGUCAUUCGAUACUGAUCGACUCGAAGGCAGGAGAGGGUAGUGGAAUUCCCGGUGUAGCGGUGAAAUGCGCAGAUAUCGGGAGGAACACCCGUAGCGAAGGCGGACACGUCUGGGCCGAUACUGACACU